UACAGAGGUCUCAAGCGUUGUUCGGAUUCAUUGGGCGUAAAGGGUGCGUAGGCGGCGCGGUAAGUCGGGUGUGAAAUCUCGGAGCUUAACUCCGAAACUGCAUUCGAUACUGCCGUGCUUGAGGACUGGAGAGGAGACUGGAAUUUACGGUGUAGCGGUGAAAUGCGUAGAGAUCGGAAAGAACACCAACGGCGAAAGCACUCUGCUGGGCCGACACUGACACUGAGAGACGAAAGCUAGGGAGCGAAUGGG
rnacentral:rRNA from 1 species